UACGUAGGGUGCGAGCGUUAGUCGGAAUUACUGGGCGUAAAGCGCACGUAGGCGGCUUUGUAAGUUAGGGGUGAAAGCCCGGAGCUCAACUCCGGAAUUGCCUUUAAGACUGCAUCGCUUGAAUCCGGGAGAGGUGAGUGGAAUUCCGAGUGUAGAGGUGAAAUUCGUAGAUAUUCGGAAGAACACCAGUGGCGAAGGCGGCUCACUGGACCGGUAUUGACGCUGAGGUGCGAAAGCGUGGGGAGCAAACAGG
rnacentral:rRNA from 1 species